UACGGAGGGUGCAAGCGUUAAUCGGAAUUACUGGGCGUAAAGCGUACGUAGGCGGCUUGUUAAGCAAGAUGUGAAAUCCCCGGGCUCAACCUGGGAAUGGCAUUUUGAACUGGCAAGCUCGAGUGCUGAAGAGGGUGGUAGAAUUUCCAGUGUAGCGGUGAAAUGCGUAGAUAUUGGAAGGAAUACCGGUGGCGAAGGCGGCCACCUGGGCAGAAACUGACGCUGAGGUACGAAAGCGUGGGGAGCAAACAGG
rnacentral:rRNA from 1 species